ensembl:lncRNA
GCUCUGAGACGUGCCCCUUUCUUCCUGCAAAUGCAUGCAAUAAGUUACACUGGAGGCUGCGUAUCCAGCUUACAUACACUGGAUACGCAGCUUACAUCACGUUCUGCUGGUUGGUGAGAGAGGAAGGAACCACAAACAGGACAAAACAGAGUGAAAAAAGAAGAAGUGGAAGAGCCGCAGGAUCCAAACCAGGUGGUCUACAAGACGGCACACGCCAAAACUGUCAUCACCUAUAAGAAAGACUUUGUCCCGUACACCACAAGGAUCUAUAAUCUCAUCUCAUCCUUCAGCAGCGAUCGAGGGGCUGGAGACGACAACAAAUGAACCUCUCCAGUUAAUAUUUAUGUAUUUCUGUGAGGACAUUAUAAUGUUUUUGUUUUUUAAGGAAACUCCAGCUGCGUGUCCACCUGUCCUGCUCUGAUGGCCUCAGCCAGCUUUUAGUAUCAAACUGUAAGCAGUAUUCAGUACUGUUCUGUAAUUCAGAUGCUCGUGGUGUGUAAAUAAACCCUCAAAAUGCAGAAAUCUGUUU